UGCCCCUCACGAGGACAGCAUCCUCUGCCCUAGCCUUGCCGUGGAGUUCCCAGCGCCGUCGCCGCGACAGUUUUCCCUCUCCUCAGCCGUGGCCUAGGAGCAAGGGCCGACCGACUGUUCUACCUCCUGAUCGUCGGCCAUCAUCACUCGACUGCCAUCAUUCAUCGCCGGAGGUGCUUCUUGUGUUUGUGGUCAUUGUGGUCGUAGGAUUCUACCGAGCCUCUUCCCCAUCGGUUGAUUGUUGACGCUGGGCCCUGGUUCUUUUCUCCACUGCCGGCUUCUUCUUCCAUUAGCCACCGACAGAGAGGGAACGAGGGGCACUGGUUAGGAGAGGCAGAUUUGAGUAGCAGUAACUUCUAGUUCCGGUCAUUAUAUCACCAAGGCACGCGUCUCCGACAGUGACUCAACAGUCGGGCAUACGCAAUUGGGAGCUUGACGCGAGACGUGUUUCUCAAUUAUUGGAUUUGGACCACUUUAUUGGAGGCGGGUACUUUGACUUGUGUCUUUUGAUAUGCAUGAUAAUAUGUUUAACAUAUAACAGUAAUUGUG